rnacentral:rRNA from 1 species
AUUGAACGCUGGCGGCAGGCCUAACACAUGCAAGUCGAACGAGUGGCGGACGGGUGAGUAAUGUCUGGGAAACUGCCUGAUGGAGGGGGAUAACUACUGGAAACGGUAGCCAAUUCCGUAUACCAUCGGAUGUGCCCAGUUGGGAUUAGCUAGUAGGUGGGGUAAAGGCUCACCAAGGCGACGAUCCCUAGCUGGUCUGAGAGGAUGACCAGGCACACUGGAACGGAGACACGGGCCAGACUCCUACGGGAGGCAGCAGUGGGGAAUAUUGGACAAUGGGCGCAAGCCUGAUGCAGCCAUGACGCGUGUAUGAAGAAGGCCUUCGGGUUGUAAAGUACUUUCAGCGGGGAGGCGUUACCCGCAGAAGAAGCACCGGCUAACUCCGUGCCAGCAGCCGCGGUAAUUC